rnacentral:rRNA from 1 species
CGUGAAACCGUUUAGGGGUAAACGGAAAAGAACUGAAAUCCGAAAAGGGAGAUUCACGUCUUCUCAUUAGAUAGCAUAAUUAUAAUUUAGGAUAACUAAUGGGCUAUACAAUUUAUUGUACUAGUACUAUUAAUUACCUAAUUAUAUUAUGACUAGCUAUGGUGGACCGCACUUCUCUCUAAGUAGGACGUCGUGACUCGCUAGUUUUAUAUUUAAAUUCAAAAUCAUACUUUAUUUAGACUUGUUAUAUAUAUUUUUUUUAAAAAGUUAUAUAACAAAUGGUAUGUUUUUUGGAUAAAUUAACUGGCGGUAUAAAACGACAAUGAGAGUCGCUUUUUUUUUAAAAAGCGUAUGAACUUGUAUUAUUUUUAAUAGUGUUACUAGUAAGUG